rnacentral:lncRNA from 1 species
AUACUGAAAGUUAACUGCUGUAGUAUAGGUAUAAUAAUAACAUAAUGGUAUAUUUACUCAGCCAUGAAGAUGGAGAGGACAACGAAGAGCAGGUGAAAGAGAAUGACAAAGCAGGUGAAGAGAACAGCCAUGAAGAUGAAGAGUACAGAAAGAGAAGUACAGAAGAGUACAAAAGCAAAUGAGUCAAGAGCAGGUGAAGAGAACAGUUGUGAAGAUGAAGGGCAGAGAAAGAAAGUAAAUGUAUCCAGUGCAAGUGAAGAGAACAGUGCAGGGAAAGAUGGAGAGCCACAUCUUCAGGAUGACAUCAGAAGAGAGGAGUUAGAUGGAGAAUGCAGAGAUGCAACAGAGGAGGAAGCGGAGGAAAGACCUUACCCAGAGGACCCAUCGGACUGGCCUUCACCCCAUCAAAUUACUGACACUUUUAGGCAAAACAUGACUGAGAGAGGGCCUUUGAAAUGUCCUGAUGGGCCAUAUCCUAGAUCCGAGGUGAGUAACAGGCGAUUUUCAAAGGCCUACUGUUAUUGCUUAUUAUCAAAUGGGGAGAGAAUUGAG